rnacentral:lncRNA from 1 species
GGCAAGAUUCAUGAGACCUUGUGACUGUGAAAAGGCUGCCAGGGAAACUGAGGCUAGAACAGAACAUUAACAGGAGGGUCAAGAGAUUCUGGAAGAGUCUGGUGACCCUGCCCAGAGGUGAGGUACUUUGUUACUGGGUAUCAGGCUGCCUUGGAAAAGUCUAUAGUUUUAAGGAGUAACAUACAAGAAUAGUAAUAAACUCAAUGUCAUAAUUUACUGAUUCAAUGAUGACACUCUACUACCCCUUGAGUUUCACUGAAUCCACACUAAAGUCCAGGAGAUAUUCAUGAGUGGCCAGCUCGGCUGUGCAUGUGCAGACUACGUGGUACCAUUCCCUUGUAUGAGUCCUUUGCUUGUGGGAAAGAUCUUCAGGAGCAUUAUUCUUGACUUUACAGUCAAGAGAGAAGGCAUUAGAAGUGAAAAUAACACAGACACAGCAACAGGACAUAGGCAUGAUGAUGAAGCAAGAACUUGUAUGCUUCCAGUGAGAAUCAGUGUCUGAGUGGAAUCCAAGAUGGGAGAUAUCCUACAAGAACUGGGAUCUCUGUUCCAUUUUGUAACACAGACAAGAAUAAAAAAAAAGGAAUUGCCACUAUCACCUAGCUUACUGGAGAGUGUUGGUAGUUUGAAAUAUUGUCUGUCAUGGGGUUUCUAAUGCUAUGUGGUAAAACACCAUGACCAAAACCAACUUGGGGAGGAGAGGGUUUAUUUCACUUAGUCUCCCCCAUUACAGCCUAUCACAGAAGGAAGUAAGGGUAAGAACUGAUGCAGAGGCCAUGGAGAAAUGUUGUUUACUAGCUUGCACCCCAUGGCUUUCUCAUCCUGCUUUCUUACAGCAUCUAGGACCACCGGCCUAGGGUGGCACUACCCACAGUGAGCUAGGAUCUCCCACAUCAAUCAUCAAUUGAGAAAAUGCACUACAGGCUUGCCCACAGGACAGCCUGGUAGGACAUUUUUUUCCAAAUGAUUCUAACCUGUGUCAAGUUGACAUUAAUUACCAGAUAGCACACUGUCUUAGAAAACAUUCAACAGUCACCUAUCAGCUCCUGAGGUCAUAUAUAGGAUUCCAAGAAGAUCAAGUUUCCUAUGAUGUACCUUGGAUCAAACUUCUCUGAAGUCUUUACACAUUGACAUUGAUUAUAUCUUUUCUUUUUCAUGUGUAUGUAGGAGUAAUCUUUGAAAAAAAUCACUAUCUAAAUCCAAAUAUAAAACAGAAAUUUCUAUAUUAGGAAUAGCAUAGAAAGUGUAAGUGAUAUAAAAAAUGGUGGUUCAUCAUAAACUUGGGGGCUUACUUCUUACCUUAAUUCUCAUUUUGUUACAUUGUGGUAUUUUUGAUUAUGGCCAUGAUUUUUCUGUUUCAGUUCUUUUAUGUGUCAAAUUAAUUAGGCUUUAAUACCAAGCCAUUUGGUCAGAAACAUCUGAAUAUAGUUAUAAAAGUUGCUUUGGUUUCUUAAAUAAGUGAUUGAAAUUUAGAUCAGUACAUUUUGAGUAAGGCUCAAUUGGGUAGGCUUCAGCCAAUCAAUUAACUAAAUAUUCUGUGACAAACACACACACAAAAACAGGUCUCCCAAAGCAAAAUGGAAUCUGCCUUAUAGUGGCUUCAAAUUCAGGCUAUAUCUUCAGCUGUUCCAUGGGAAACUCACAAUCUGCCCUUCAUAUUUUGAUCUUGAUUGUUUUCAUAUGUAUGUGAGCUAUUUCCUUAAACUAAGUAGAUAGGUAGAUACACACACACAUACACACACACAGAGAGAGAGAGAGAGAGAGAGAGAGACAGAGACAGAGACAGAGACAGAGACAGAGACAGAGACAGACAGACUGAUGAUACUGCUGCUUCUCCGGAGAGCCUUGGAUAUUGUAGACUUGUCUAUGGUAAGUAUGGUUGAAAAUUGCUGAUUCUGGAUCCAGAUCUCCAAGCCUCAGCUGAAUCUUCUGUAAAGUAAGGCUAUUGUACCAUCUUCACAGAUUUGUCAUGAGGCCUUCAAGACUUCAGACAGUUAAAGCAGUUAUCCAGCAGCCAAUAUUCAAGAAAGAAUGAGUACACUAUAUUUGAGAGAGGAUAUGUGACAAGUGAUGUUAUCCCUUGUUCUCUGAGGAGUUAGAUAUUGUGCUCCUUUGCCUACUGAAGUAAACACUACUGAGUAAGGACUAGGAAAUAAAGUCUCACAGGGGACUGUGUUCCUAAUACCCUUUGUAAAUAGAGCUAAAGUGACAUUUGUCAAACUUUCCAAAAAGGGGGAUGUGCUUCUGUACUGAGUCUCAUAUCAUGGGGCCUGCUGUCCCCAGGAACGUGUGUACUAGGUGCUAAUUGCUACCCUAUAAACACUAGCUACUACUGAAAGAAAUUCUGAGCAUAUCAGCCAGGCUCUCCUUCCAACCUAACAGCUCUGAUUUUUCUCAUCCCCAACUCUUGGGAGCAUGCCCUCCUUCCAGCCAGCUGUGUGUCUUCAGUGGCUAUGGCUGGUGAGGACAUCGGAAGGGGGCUUGCUAGGACUGGUUUUGAGAAAACUGAAAGCACAGUCCAUAGAUGUUCAGGGAGACUCAGCUUUCCCACAAAAGGAGUUGGGUGGAUGAGGAUCCAACCACCAUGUGGUCACCUUUGGACUGGGAGAGGUCUGGGGAUGGGCUAGUGAAUGAAGGCCUCUACCACCAAAUGGUCACUAAGUAGGAGAGGUUAAGGAAGGGAGGGUUAGUGAAUUAGGACCUUGGCCAUCAUAUGGUCAUUGUGUGGCUGGGAGAAGCUGAGAAAGGGGCUACCUAGUGAAGAAGGAGUAGGCCACCAUCUGGUUACUCAGGGGCUGGAAGAGGCUCAGAGGAAAGAUCUAGUGAAUAGGACUUCCACCACCAUAUGGUCACCGUAUGGCUGAGAGAAGCUAGCCAAGGAGCCAUUUCUCUGUACCAAGUCUCUGCCUUGUCAGCUCUCCACCUGGGAGGAGCAGGAGCUCUGCAUUUAUCUAAAUCUCCUUUACUCCCAAGUUGGUCUUUUAUAAGACAGUUUCAUUUUCAAUGCUAAACAUAAUGAAAAUAAGUAGAUUUUAUUGUUUAGAAGAUUCAUAGCAGCAAUAACUUUGCUUUCAUUUCCAUAGAUCUUUAUUCGCAGUUCGACCAGUGACUAGAGAGAGAAAAGGAAAUGACCUGCUAUUUCACUUAAGCUAAAUGCAUUGACUUUUUACAAAAUUAAAUCUUCAGUAAAUUAACUUGUGUGUCUGGGUUUCUUAUAAAAGCCAGGAGAGGUGCUCAUUGUUACUUAUUGUUCACCUGCAGCUUAGGGGUGGCUCUGUCCUCUGUAAACAUUUAUUCCCUCCAGGAGCCAGAGGGGGGGCCUCUGGGCUUUCACCCUGACACUGAGCUAGGGAGAGGUCAGGCAUAGAGUGGUCCCUAGUUCCUGUCAUUCAAGUAUAAGUUCAUAGAAGAGGAUCAGGAUCUUUGAUCCUACUCAGGCUCCGGCAUCUAGAGCAAUGCUGGCAAUAAGUAUCAUAUAUUUAGUUAUAUUUGUUAGAUACAUGAAUCAAUCAUUUACCAAUUUACCCCCAUAGUAUACUAAGAAUGACUGAUUU